rnacentral:rRNA from 1 species
UACGGGGGGGGGCAAGCGUUGUUCGGAAUUACUGGGCGUAAAGGGCUCGUAGGCGGCCAACUAAGUCAGACGUGAAAUCCCUCGGCUUAACCGGGGAACUGCGUCUGAUACUGGAUGGCUUGAAUCCGGGAGAGGGAUGCGGAAUUCCAGGUGUAGCGGUGAAAUGCGUAGAUAUCUGGAGGAACACCGGUGGCGAAGGCGGCAUCCUGGACCAAUACUGACACUGAGGAGCGAAAGCCAGGGGAGCAAACGGG